rnacentral:rRNA from 1 species
UUACUGGAGGUCCGAACCCACGCACGUUGAAAAGUGCGGGGAUGAGGUGUGGGUAGCGGAGAAAUUCCAAUCGAACUUGGAGAUAGCUGGUUCUCUCCGAAAUAGCUUUAGGGCUAGCCUCGAGGUAAAGAGUCAUGGAGGUAGAGCACUGUUUGGACUAGGGGCCCUUCUCGGGUUACCGAAUUCAGAUAAACUCCGAAUGCCAUGUACUUAUACUCGGGAGUCAGACUGCGAGUGAUAAGAUCCGUAGUCGAAAGGGAAACAGCCCAGACCACCAGUUAAGGUCCCCAAAUAUAUGUUAAGUGGAAAAGGAUGUGGGGUUGCUUAGACAACCAGGAUGUUGGCUUAGAAGCAGCCACCAUUGAAAGAGUGCGUAAUAGCUCACUGGUCGAGUGACCCCGCGCCGAAAAUGUACCGGGGCUAAACAUAUUACCGAAACUGUGGAUGAACCUCUUCGGAGGUUCGUGGUAGGAGAGCGUUCUAAGGGCGGUGAAGUCAGACCGGAAGGACUGGUGGAGCGCUUAGAAGUGAGAAUGCCGGUAUGAGUAGCGAAAGAAGGGUGAGAAUCCCUUCCACCGAAUAUCUAAGGUUUCCUGAGGAAGGCUCGUCCGCUCAGGGUUAGUCGGGACCUAAGCCGAGGCCGAUAGGCGUAGGCGAUGGACAACAGGUAGAGAUUCCUGUACCAGUGCUAAUUGUUUAACCGAUGGGGUGACACAGAAGGAUAGGGAAUCGCACGAAUGGAAAUGUGCGUCCAAGCAGUGAGUGUGAGAAGUAGGCAAAUCCGCUUCUCGCGAAGCAUGAGCUGUGAUGGGGAAGGAAAUUAAGUACGGAAGUUCCUGAUUUCACGCUGUCAAGAAAAGCCUCUAGGAAGAGUAGUACUGCCCGUACCGCAAACCGACACAGGUAGAUGAGGAGAGAAUCCUAAGGUGAGCGAGAGAACUCUCGUUAAGGAACUCGGCAAAAUGACCCCGUAACUUCGGGAGAAGGGGUGCUCUAUUAGGGUGCAAGCCCGAGAGAGCCGCAGUGAAUAGGCCCAGGCGACUGUUUAGCAAAAACACAGGUCUCUGCAAAACCGUAAGGUGACGUAUAGGGGCUGACGCCUGCCCGGUGCUGGAAGGUUAAGAGGAGUGCUUAGCUUCGGCGAAGGUACGAAUUGAAGCCCCAGUAAACGGCGGCCGUAACUAUAACGGUCCUAAGGUAGCGAAAUUCCUUGUCGGGUAAGUUCCGACCCGCACGAAAGGCGCAACGAUCUGGGCACUGUCUCAACGAGAGACUCGGUGAAAUUAUAGUACCUGUGAAGAUGCAGGUUACCCGCGACAGGACGGAAAGACCCCGUGGAGCUUUACUGCAACCUGAUAUGGAAUGUUUGUACCGCUUGUACAGGAUAGGUAGGAGCCGAAGAGACGUGUGCGCUAGCAUACGAGGAGGCAAUGGUGGGAUACUACCCUGGCUGUAUGACCAUUCUAACCCGCCACGCUUAGCGCGUGGGGAGACAGUGUCAGGUGGGCAGUUUGACUGGGGCGGUCGCCUCCUAAAGAGUAACGGAGGCGCCCAAAGGUUCCCUCAGAAUGGAUGGAAAUCAUUCGCAGAGUGUAAAGGCACAAGGGAGCUUGACUGCGAGACUGACAAGUCGAGCAGGGACGAAAGUCGGGCUUAGUGAUCCGGUGGUUCCGCAUGGAAGGGCCAUCGCUCAACGGAUAAAAGCUACCCCGGGGAUAACAGGCUUAUCUCCCCCAAGAGUCCACAUCGACGGGGAGGUUUGGCACCUCGAUGUCGGCUCGUCGCAUCCUGGGGCUGUAGUCGGUCCCAAGGGUUGGGCUGUUCGCCCAUUAAAGCGGCACGCGAGCUGGGUUCAGAACGUCGUGAGACAGUUCGGUCCCUAUCCGUCGCGGGCGCAGGAAAUUUGAGAGGAGCUGUCCUUAGUACGAGAGGACCGGGAUGGACACACCGCUGGUGUACCAGUUGUUCCGCCAGGAGCAUCGCUGGGUAGCUAUGUGUGGCAGGGAUAAACGCUGAAAGCAUCUAAGCGUGAAGCCCCCCUCAAGAUGAGAUUUCCCAUUUCUUCGGAAAGUAAGAUCCCUGAAAGAUGAUCAGGUAGAUAGGUUUGGAGUGGAAGUGUAGCGAUACAUGGAGCGGACAAAUACUAAUCGAUCGAGGACUUAACCAA